AGGACCUCUCGAAUACAAGGC
rnacentral:misc_RNA from 1 species